CCGUCGUGAAGAGGGAAACAACCCAGACCGCCAGCUAAGGUCCCAAAGUCAUGGUUAAGUGGGAAACGAUGUGGGAAGGCCCAGACAGCCAGGAUGUUGGCUUAGAAGCAGCCAUCAUUUAAAGAAAGCGUAAUAGCUCACUGGUCGAGUCGGCCUGCGCGGAAGAUGUAACGGGGCUAAACCAUGCACCGAAGCUGCGGCAGCGACGCUGAUGCGUUGUUGGGUAGGGGAGCGUUCUGUAAGCCUGUGAAGGUGUGCUGUGAGGCAUGCUGGAGGUAUCAGAAGUGCGAAUGCUGACAUAAGUAACGAUAAAGCGGGUGAAAAGCCCGCUCGCCGGAAGACCAAGGGUUCCUGUCCAACGUUAAUCGGGGCAGGGUGAGUCGACCCCUAAGGCGAGGCCGAAAGGCGUAGUCGAUGGGAAACAGGUUAAUAUUCCUGUACUUGGUGUUACUGCGAAGGGGGGACGGAGAAGGCUAUGUUGGCCGGGCGACGGUUGUCCCGGUUUAAGCGUGUAGGCUGGUUUUCCAGGCAAAUCCGGAAAACUAAGGCUGAGGCGUGAUGACGAGGCACUACGGUGCUGAAGCAACAAAUGCCCUGCUUCCAGGAAAAGCCUCUAAGCAUCAGGUAACAUCAAAUCGUACCCCAAACCGACACAGGUGGUCAGGUAGAGAAUACCAAGGCGCUUGAGAGAACUCGGGUGAAGGAACUAGGCAAAAUGGUGCCGUAACUUCGGGAGAAGGCACGCUGAUAUGUAGGUGAAGUCCCUCGCGGAUGGAGCUGAAAUCAGUCGAAGAUACCAGCUGGCUGCAACUGUUUAUUAAAAACACAGCACUGUGCAAACACGAAAGUGGACGUAUACGGUGUGACGCCUGCCCGGUGCCGGAAGGUUAAUUGAUGGGGUCAGCGCAAGCGAAGCUCUUGAUCGAAGCCCCGGUAAACGGCGGCCGUAACUAUAACGGUCCUAAGGUAGCGAAAUUCCUUGUCGGGUAAGUUCCGACCUGCACGAAUGGCGUAAUGAUGGCCAGGCUGUCUCCACCCGAGACUCAGUGAAAUUGAACUCGCUGUGAAGAUGCAGUGUACCCGCGGCAAGACGGAAAGACCCCGUGAACCUUUACUAUAGCUUGACACUGAACAUUGAGCCUUGAUGUGUAGGAUAGGUGGGAGGCUUUGAAGUGUGGACGCCAGUCUGCAUGGAGCCGACCUUGAAAUACCACCCUUUAAUGUUUGAUGUUCUAACGUUGACCCGUAAUCCGGGUUGCGGACAGUGUCUGGUGGGUAGUUUGACUGGGGCGGUCUCCUCCUAAAGAGUAACGGAGGAGCACGAAGGUUGGCUAAUCCUGGUCGGACAUCAGGAGGUUAGUGCAAUGGCAUAAGCCAGCUUGACUGCGAGCGUGACGGCGCGAGCAGGUGCGAAAGCAGGUCAUAGUGAUCCGGUGGUUCUGAAUGGAAGGGCCAUCGCUCAACGGAUAAAAGGUACUCCGGGGAUAACAGGCUGAUACCGCCCAAGAGUUCAUAUCGACGGCGGUGUUUGGCACCUCGAUGUCGGCUCAUCACAUCCUGGGGCUGAAGUAGGUCCCAAGGGUAUGGCUGUUCGCCAUUUAAAGUGGUACGCGAGCUGGGUUUAGAACGUCGUGAGACAGUUCGGUCCCUAUCUGCCGUGGGCGCUGGAGAACUGAGGGGGGCUGCUCCUAGUACGAGAGGACCGGAGUGGACGCAUCACUGGUGUUCGGGUUGUCAUGCCAAUGGCACUGCCCGGUAGCUAAAUGCGGAAGAGAUAAGUGCUGAAAGCAUCUAAGCACGAAACUUGCCCCGAGAUGAGUUCUCCCUGACUCCUUGAGAGUCCUGAAGGAACGUUGAAG
rnacentral:rRNA from 1 species